GAUCCAGCAUGCAUAUGAGCUCUAAGGCAGGACAGAGUGGCACUUUGGAGAACCCUCCACAGUCCUUAAACCAGCCCCACUUCCCACUUCCAGUUCUACCCACUCUUGGCUUAGGAAAUUUUCUCCUCUUUUUGCCCUGAAAAUUAGCCUUGGUGGCUGAGUUUUGCUUUUCAGGUUCUCAUUGCUAGUGUUUAUUUUGAGGCUUAGUGACCAUCUCAUUCCUACUACUGGCCCGCAGUAGGGAAUCAGACCUUUAGUAGACACGGAGCUCUUCAAAUACAGAGUGAACUUGGGGCAUCUGAUCAUGUGGGUCAAGAUGAACACUACACGAGCAAUAGCACAGAAUACAACUGAGAGCCACUUGCAGCACUGAGAAGUGAAGGAAUAUUUGGGAGGAUCAGAAGCUUGGUCCUGAUUUUGCCAUCAACAGGAACUUGAUGACUUCAAGGGAGUCCCCAAACCCUGGGUUUCUGUUUUCUCAACUCUAACAUGAGGGGCUAGAUGCAUCUGGUUUAGUUAGUCUCCAUGAUGGUUUAGUUCGUCUCCAUGAUCCUGUGAAUUUCAGAUGUUGAAAAUCUUUGGAAAAGCCCUGAAAGAUGAACAGUGGUCUCAAAUAGUCAAGACCCCCUGCUGGGAGGAGCUAUCCUGCUCUUUGGAAGAAAUGGGCAUGCCAGAUGCCUG
rnacentral:antisense_RNA from 1 species